AAACUGCGAUACGUAGUGUGAAUUGCAGAAUUCAGUGAAUCAUCGAAUCUUUGAACGCAAAUUGCGCUGCUGGGUAUUCCUGGCAGCAUGCUUGGCUGAGUAUCAUCUGGACAAAUCGAUUCAAUUUUUUUGAAUCGGACAUGAGGCUUGUCGCAUGCUCGCAAGAGUAUGGGUCCCUUUAAGAAUAGCAAAAUGGUUAAAGCGCACCUUGUGUGCUUCAACAAUACUUUUUUGUUGAGCAAACAGUUUGUUUUUAACCGCCAGUGUGUCAAUUGUUUGCAGUGGCAACGCUGCACAACAUUCAACCACUGUUUGCGGGAUGAACAGUUGUUCAACAACCCAAAAUUUUGAUCUCAGCUCAAGCAAGACUACCCGCUGAACUUAA
rnacentral:misc_RNA from 1 species